rnacentral:lncRNA from 1 species
CAGAAACACAAAACUAAUAUGUGGUUGUUCCAGGAAGGCUUUGUGGGGGAAGUAAGGUUUAACCUGAGACCAGGAGACAAAGGAGGUAGUGGAACAAGGAGAAAGUGUGUAUGUGCAUGUGCAUGUGUAUGGAUAUAUCAAGUAGAGAGACACAGUGCAAAGGACCAGAGGGGAGAGGGAAGGGCAGGCUACCCUGGGGUCAGGAGCCAAGAGAAGUUAAGAAUGGCUGGAACAUCAAGGGGGAAAGACCCUGAACAGGCAUGCACAAGUGGCAGCCAUGGAGAAGCCUGAGGUCAUCCACAUUCUCCUCUGGUCCUUCCUGUGCUCUUCUGACAAGGAGCAGCACUCUUAUAUUCUCUAUCAUGCAGUCCAGAAGUGGAGGAGGUGACCUCCUGGACUCUCUCCUGGCUGUUUUGUAAAGAACUCAAGCAGGGGCAAUCAGCAGAGGUCCAGAGAAGAUGGAGUCCACCAACACCAUGGCUGUGUAGCUUGUGCCCUCCACGCCUGCAGGGGCCACCAUUUCUACCAACUAUAGUGGGUGUGGAGCUCUUUGGAGCCUGACCCUUAGUGGUCUUCAGUUAGACACACCUGCAUUCACAUCUAGGCUACACCUUCUGUUACCCUGCCACCUUAGAUAAAUGAUGUACCUCUCUAACCCCCAGUUUCCUCACCUGAUAAAUGAAGAUAUGUUUGCUCGCAUCUCGCAGGGCUUUUGUGAAUGAAGGUGAAGGGAGAUGGGAUGCGUAAUUGGCUGAGAACAGAACCUACAGUAGCAAGAGCUGAAUAUGUCAAUUAUUAUUUUUUGAGCCUGAACAGAGAGGAAGCCACAGAGGAGGUGUUCAACAGAUGUUCAUUGAUCGGCAAGUGGUUUGCCUAGAAAGCCUGGACUUGUGGCUCUUCCUUCAAAGAAUUCCACUCGAGCAAGCCAACCCUGCUGAAGCAGUAGGUGGAAUGUGGCAGCUAUCAACAUAGACUUAAAGACGCAAGAAGAAACACAGAUGGCACAGAAGAGAAGGGACUGUCAAAGGUUCUACAUUCUCUGGCUGAGUUUGGGAGUAAACACUCACAAGGGCAGGGCUGCCCCUCACCUGGCCCCUUCCCUGCACUCAGUGUGUGGAAGACGCAGGAGUGGGUGUCCCUGUUGGUGUUGCUUCUCACACACCUGCCCUUCUCCCUAAAGGGAAGCAGUGUGGGAUCUGCACUCCUCACCUGGCCCUUCCAUGUGC